rnacentral:rRNA from 1 species
GAUGAACGCUGGCGGCGUGCCUAAUACAUGCAAGUAGAACGCUGAAGGAAGGAGCUUGCUCUUUCCGGAUGAGUUGCGAACGGGUGAGUAACGCGUAGGUAACCUGCCUGGUAGCGGGGGAUAACUAUUGGAAACGAUAGCUAAUACCGCAUAACAGUAGAUGUUGCAUGACACCUAUUUGAAAGGGGCAAUUGCUCCACUACCAGAUGGACCUGCGUUGUAUUAGCUAGUUGGUGAGGUAACGGCUCACCAAGGCGACGAUACAUAGCCGACCUGAGAGGGUGAUCGGCCACACUGGGACUGAGACACGGCCCAGACUCCUACGGGAGGCAGCAGUAGGGAAUCUUCGGCAAUGGACGGAAGUCUGACCGAGCAACGCCGCGUGAGUGAAGAAGGUUUUCGGAUCGUAAAGCUCUGUUGUAAGAGAAGAACGAGUGUGAGAGUGGAAAGUUCACACUGUGACGGUAUCUUACCAGAAAGAGACGGCUAACUACGUG